rnacentral:lncRNA from 1 species
CAAAUAUUUUCUAUAAAUAAUCUGGGUCCUUCAAGAUAAAAAGACAAAGGUAUUUUGAAAUCUUUGCUAUUGAAGUGACUUCAACUGUUUUGACCUCAAGACCUUGACACACUCUAUUUUUUCUUCUGACAGGUUCCCAGCCUGGUGGAAGCCACUCCUCCCCCAGGUCUCAGCUGAGAGGUGUGGCACAGGAGGCACCAUUGUUUAUCAAAGGGAUGAUUACCAGUGUAGUGGUUAGAAAUGACCAACUUUCCUUGCUUAGGCCACGAAAUACCUUCACAGAUAUGCUCAAGAUACAAAAUAUGCAGAAACUAUUUAGAAAAGGGACAUAUUAUAAACAGUAAAGUGACAAAAAUAUAAUGAUGACACAAUAAUAGAAUUAAUGAGACUUCAAAAAGUUUCUUAUGCUAGGCCAGGGCUUCUAAAAAAUGCACUGUUGAUGUAAUUUUGGGCCAAAUAGCAUCUCGCCACGGUGGACUUCCUGUGCAGUGUAGCCUCUCUGGCAUCACCCUGGGUUCUACUCCAUGGAUUCCAGGAACACCCCUCCAGUUGUGACAACCAAAAUUAUACCCUGACAUUGCCAAAAUGUUCCUGGGGGGUGGGGUAAAGUUGUCCCUAUGGAGAACAAUCACACCUCUGAGUUAACAAUAAAAAAAAGGCAAACCACAGGAAGCAAAAAUCAGAAUCAGAAACUCUAAUGCUGCUCACGAUUUCCUUUUGCUGCCUCAUCAACCUGAAGAAUCGCAUAAGGCAGGAGAGCCGUGUCCUUGUUUCACAUGUAGAAAAGCAGGCAGGACAAAAACCAGAACCACUUCAAAGCAACUGCAGGCACUGUUUUUCGGCAGGCUGGGGACCAUUGCUCUCAUCCUGA